ACCCAGGCAGAGAAAAAUUACAAUUACUCCCACAUUCAAACCAGAGGAAUAAUAGAGAGAGUAUUUGGUGUGUGGAAGCGGAGAUUUCCAUGUAUAAAAGAGGGACUCCGCACAAAAGUGGACACUACCCUGGCCGUCAUCAUUGCAGUAGCUGUGCUGUAUAACUUUGGGAAGAGAGUAGGAGACGAGCUACCAGAGGUGGAUGAGGACCCACUUCAGAACGACCUGGAAGAUGCUCAAGUGCAGAAUGCUGCAAACCCAAAUGGCAAUGCUGUCAGGAGAACACUGAUUGAAAAUCACUUUGCAGCAUAAUUCAGAAGAACUCACCAGAAAAUCAAGACAAGGAGAAUGGCAAUUGAAUUGAA
ensembl:lncRNA